GCCUCGUGCUUGAUCACGACCUUCUACUUGUACACCUCUUUUAUCAGGGAAGAAGCGCUUUUUAUGCUACCUGCGGAACUUUCGCUUCUUAACUACGUGCCAACAUUUACGACAAUAAGUCCGGCGUCAGCGUUAUCCGGAAUUAUUGUCCGUCUUUCGCUCGUUGGCCGAUUGUCGCGACUGCUCCUCCCGUAGGAGCUCAACCUCGGGCCUGCAGUGGGUACGGGCAGACUAGAGUGCGGUAGGGGAGAUUGGAAUUCCUGGUGUAGCGGUGGAAUGCGCAGAUAUCAGGAGGAACACCGAUGGCGAAGGCAGAUCUCUGGGCCGUAACUGACGCUGAGGAGCGAAAGGGUGGGGAGCAAACAGGCUUAGAUACCCUGGUAGUCCACCCCGUAAACGUUGGGAACUAGUUGUGGGGUCCAUUCCACGGAUUCCGUGACGCAGCUAACGCAUUAAGUUCCCCGCC
rnacentral:rRNA from 1 species